rnacentral:rRNA from 1 species
CGCCUCCCGGCUACGAUCUCAUCCUGAUCGUUGAUUCUGACGGCGGGGUCUGGAUUGUUUGCAUUCAGGACGAGACCAUGCAAUAGCAUGCAGCAGCAUGGAAAACUUUCUAUACGGCGCUGCUACAUGUACGGCAAGGUUGCAUCCAACACCAUAUGUGUUCUGGCAGCAGCAUCGUGGCGAAUGUCUGCCGUCGUUGUCCUCCUCUUUGGUCGCCAUCGUUGCUGCCACGACCAUACAUCUCUUUGAUGACUGCAUCACCUACCCUAUCUGUCGGCAAUGAUCCGAGGUUCAUGAGGACAGUUCUGGUGAUGGUGUGUAUCUUCUAUCAUGCAUGUUAAAACUGGUGGCAAUAAUUUGACUUGUAAAAUAUGAACGGGUUGCUUGUUUAUCUGUAUUCUGUACUCCGUUUGCGACAUAUGAAC